rnacentral:rRNA from 1 species
CCCUUAGAUGUUCUGGGCGGCCCGCGCACUACAUUGGCCCUCUCAAUAAGUUCCUAGAUCUAAAACUUUGGGGUAUUCUAUUAAGUGGUGUCGUGACUGGGAUUAACCCUUGCAAUUAUUGGUUACGAACGAGGAAUUCCUUGUAAUCGCGGUUUAUCAGCCCGCGUUGAAUGCGUCCCUGCCCUUUGUACACACCGCCCGUCGCUCCUACCGAUGAAUCGUCCGGUGAAGUUCAUGGAGUGGUGGUUGUUCCAGCUGCUGUCGAAGUGAAAUGGACCUCACGAUUUAGAGGAAGGAGAAGUCGUAACA